CUUGUAUUUAUCAAAAUUUCUAUAAUGUUUUAGAUUAUUUUUCAAAAUUCAUUUACAACUCAUUGGUUUGUACUCAGGAGGCAAUUCUUUCAAAUGUCAAGUCUUAUUAGACCAUAGAGAAUCUAUCUUAUCUUUUAUGGCCUCUUGCCAUAUAUCAAACUUCAAUGUUUUGUGGAUUUAUAUUAUUCAACAACUAACUCUUUGUUUUGAUUAUUUUUCGUUACAGUUCUUUUCUUUUUUUAUUUUUUAUUUUUUAUGUUUUGAUGAAAAGGUAAAAUUGAACAAUGGUUGGAGAGAUAAUUGUUUUAUUUGAUCACAGGUACAAAGAGUUGUUCACAAAACUCAUUGCUAAAAAGGUGAUUGUUGGGUUGUCUUAACAGCCAACAAGAAGAAAGCUUUAUGCAGCCAAAGUUCAUGGAUCUUGCAAGUAAUCCUCCCUCAAAGAAUGAUUAUACAACUAUUCCAGAGGAUUAUCCUUUAGUAUGGGUUUUCAGUGACGAUGAUCCAGAAAACUGACAUGUUCAGAUAAAAAGUGUACGAGUCGAAGAAAGGAGCGACAACGGACCGAAAAGGAGCAAAAAUGGACAAAAAGGACCACACAUGUGCAGCCAAUUGGGCCACACAUGUGCAGCCCACCAAACACACUUGACGGUCACCAAGAAGCCCAAAGUGGCGCCUGCCACAAGGAAACAAGUGCUGCUCGCCAGCCAACCAAAAGUGGCAACCGCCACAUGCACCAAAGUGGCCCUCGCCACUCCCUUUCAUCAUGGACGUCCAGUUGAUCCAACGGCAACGCGCUACUUUUCCUUAAGUCCCACAUCGGACAGAUUUGCUCUUUUGUCUCUUGUAAUUUAGUAUAAAUAGGUCCCUUUUCUCCACUUUCUAAAGAACCAACUGAUAACACUUGACUAGAGAAUUGAAAACUAGGCUUAGUACCACAAGGUUUUCUUCUCUAAAGUCGAGAGUUUAGUAUUAUUUUAUUCUCCGUUGAGAAUAAAAUAAGUUUUUUUUAUUUUCCUACCGUUACGCUGUCGGAAUCCGUACUCGAGAUUUCUUUUUAAUUCAGGUUCUUAUUUUAUUUUAUGGUCUUA